GUGCCAGCCGCCGCGGUAAUACCGGCAGCUCGAGUGAUGUCCAAUGUUAUUGGGCCUAAAGCGUCCGUAGCUGGCCAGCCAAGUCCGUCGGGAAAUCCACCUGCCCAACAGGUGGGCGUCCGGCGGAAACUGUCUGGCUUGGAGCCGGAAGGCUCAGAGGGUACGUCCGGGGUAGGAGUGAAAUCCCGUAAUCCCGGACGGACCACCGAUGGCGAAAGCACUCUGAGAAGACGGAUUCGACAGUGAGGGACGAAAGCUAGGGUCUCGAACCGGAUUAGAAACCCUGGUAGUCC
rnacentral:rRNA from 1 species